AGGCUGGACCCGGAUGCAGUGUUGGGGGAGAGAGGGAUGAAAAAGCCAGAGUGUCAUAGGAAAAGGGGAACAGGGAGACAAAAAGAGACAAAAUUACUCAAAGAAUGCAAAAUUGUUUAUGCUCAGAACAGUUAAAUUAAGCUUUUAUUUGCUGAUUGUAUUAAAUAAAAACAUCACAUAUAGCAGCUCUGGGCCUCCCAGAGCUAAAAAAAAAAGGCUGCAUCCAGCUCAUAAAGGUGACAAAUAUAAUUUUAAUGAAAUGAAAGCUCCACCCCGUCACUGUUUUAGGCAUUAUAACAACUAUACUGAUAAUAAUGUCUCCCUAUUUAUCCUGGACGGUCCUAUUGAGAUAUUUCCUUGCAAGGAGUCUUGAUGGAGGUAGAAGCAUAAACACAAACUAAACCUGUUUUUAUUUUAUUUUUUUAAAUAAAAGCAUAAUCAGAAAGUAUAGAAGAAAAAAUACAGAAAUAAAACAAUUACAGAAGUAAUACUAAACAGAAAAAGUAGAUAGGCGUUCAACAUUUGAAAGCCCUUUCUUUCAGAACAGUUUAUAGAAGAUUAUAAAAUUUGAGACGGGGACAGGUGUGAAGACUGACGAUGUCUUGAUGCUCAUCCCAAAGACGCGUGAGACAAUCUGACAGCAAUUUUAGACUCAUCAUCAUAGACACUUAGAUGACAUAACAAAAGGCAUGAAAUAUAAAUAGGCAAUUACCCAAUAUGCAAUAAACAGCAACAUAUCCAUUCUAAAGAAUCAAAGAAGAGGUAAUGGGAGUUGUUACGGAUUCAACAAAGUCGAGGUAGGGAUGACGGAGAAAGAAACAUUCCACGAGUUUAUUCCUGGAUGCAAGGGGAAUGACAUUUCCGAAUGAAAUAAAUCCAAAACGUUAGCAUCAAAGGGUAGUCAUUCAUCCUGCCAGAGUCCUAACCUUUUACAUGACGUGACUUUUUCUUCAGAUCUACUAUGAUACAAAAGUGAGUAAAAGCCAAAGAUGCGGUCUCAGAGUUUAGAGCCAGGUUCAGUAUAUGCAGAUAUGGCUGCAGCGACCGAAUAAGCUCUGCAUCUUGUUUAGUGUUUUACCUGAAGGAGCAGGCUCUCCAUCUGAGCCAGCCCAAAACAUAAGCAAACUAUGCUGCUGGCUAAAGCGCAUGGGCCAGGGGGUUGCUCUUAAAUAAAGUACAAAUAUUAAGAAAUUUCAAAGUCUUUCUUAUUUAAAUGACCUGGCAUAUUUCACAUAUGAUGCAAAAUGUAACUGUGAACUAAUCAAUAUAUGCAUCUCUAUCUCUAUACUAUAACAAUGUACUCCAGACACUGCUGUCAGACUAAAUAAAUUAUUCAAAAAAAGGAGCUUUGUCUCCACAAUUUAUUUCCUGCUGUUGUUGGUUUUUUUUUUAUAAAUUAUGAAUAAAUACACUGCAAUUGUGUCUCCAAAUCAAAUUAAAUCUGAAGCUCUCCACAUUCUCCGGUAUGUGACCUUUUCCCCUUAAAGGGGUUCGGUUUCACUUUCUGGAAUAAUUGGGCUUUCCUUAAAAGUCAUGUUUUCCAAUAAAUGUCACUACAUGACAGUUUAGGAGCAUUCAUUACUGAUCUUUUAAAGCUUAAUAACAAUCAAUAUUAAUAAUAAUAAUAUUGAUUCGAUACAAUCAAUUGUGUAUCAUCUCAUUUCCCCCCUUUUGCAUAGCAAAUCUGCCUUUGACGCUGCAUGGUAACCAGACCCACCAUAGAGCUUGUCCAAACUGCCUGCAAAGAACCAAAAAAAAAGAGGUUUUUGUUUUUUUUCUUGGUCAAAUUUAAAUUGAAGAAUUUUGAACUUUGCAAUAAACCAGCUGUAAUGACACCUCGCAGGGUUUUGUCAGUGGCAACAAAGUUUGCAGCAUCAAGCCGAAUGGUUCUCCCGGUCGGUUCUGACUCUCUCGCAGCGGAUUAAGGUGAGGGGUCGUCUGUUAAACGCCUAUUCAUCCUCUUUGAUUGAGAGAGUCCUCGGGUGAAGCAUAAUGGAUUUUCAAGGGCAGCGAUGACAAUAAUUGGCUACUUUCGCUUCACUGAAAUGGACAAGGUCCUAAAAAAGAGAGUCUCUUCAAAGAUUCAGAUCCGACGGUAUGGGGCUAAAUGAAAAUAAAGACACUAAGGGGUUCUUAGGUGACAAAUUGAUAACUGAUAUUACGAGGGCCGGCUAUGGAUCUCCUGUGUGUCCAGAUCACUGACCCCCAGACCAAACGUGGUGAGGCAGCAGUUUAGAUAAUCCGGUUAUGGGAAGCUGAUGAGCUACUCGCUCAGAUGACCUGCUGAGAUUUCCCUGGAUGGAGUAAGCUUUAAAGAAGGACGUUGAUUUUGAGUCAAUCGAGCCUACGCUGUUUGCUGCAGCGUUAUUCGAAGGAGAUCAUUGUAGGUCAACUGAUUACGCAUUUGUUUCGCAUUUAUUUAGCCAUUUCUAUGCACAUGCAUGUGUGCAAUUUUAUCUUUUAUGUUUUGGAAUAUAGUUUUAAAUAAAAAUACUUUUAGACAACACCGACUGGAGCUGAAUUAGUGAAAAUAUUAAACGCAGCAUUGUCAGAACUAUAAUAGAAUAGAAGCGAAAAUGUUUUGAGCCCUUAAUGAUAAAGUUGUGGGGGAAAAAAUCAUGUUUUAGACACGUUUUCGCAAAAAAAAAUCCAUGUCAGAAGAAUUUUAUGUUGCAACUAUCAGUUUAAAUGUUGGAACAGAUUAUUUGCUGUUUGAAUUUUCCAUGCAGAUUCACACUGAAUAGCCUGGACAAAAAAAAACAGAACAGCCGCAACUCUGAGCUGGAGAACUUAUUGCCAGCCUCGCAGCCUGAUCCCAGCCUUCGCUCACAGGUGGGAGUGCCUCAAGGUGCAGAAGCAGCAGUAGCAGACAAAGGUGCAGAGGCGUGUCACCUGACCAACCCCUGCCACGCAACACACUCAUGAGAACCACAGCAGCGUCUGAGAACGAGACAACCUCCCUUUUGCACACAGCGUUUCACCAGGUGCGACUCCUUUUCUCUUCGCUUACUUUCCACUUCACUUCACACUGAGCUCUUAAAUUUCAGGCUCUUCCACUUUUUGCAGGUAACGUUGUGGCCAUUGUGUGUUUGCAGCACUUCCUCCAGCGAGGGCAUUGAUUGUGCGUGCUCGAGCCCCACGCUGCUUUGUGCAACUCCUUCAGGAUGCAUGCUUUGUUCACUUUGAUCAGAUAAAUCUCACUGCUUGUUUUUUUUUUUUUUCAAAUCUCAUUGGAAAUGUUUGAAGGUGGUUUUAAUUAUCCUGCUCUACGCUGAAGGCCUCUGAGGCAUUAAUGUAAUGUUAGGAUUAAACCUCAAAGGUCUAACGUGCUCAUGUUAGAACUAUAUAUAAUAGAAUACAUCUUGUUAUUCGUGUGAAACAACAGGCCCUACUUUCCAUUUUCAUUAACAGUAUCCCGCUCUUUCGUUUUUCCGUCUGCAGCGGUGUAGCAAUGCCACAGAUUGUAUCAUAUCGCCGCUUCAGUGACAGCUAUUUGGAGCUAGUCUACAAUUUAUCUUUUCCUCUCUGAGAGGUUUCACUGUAACCCAGGUUUCAGGUGACAUUUCUCCAUCUAUCAGGCUCCAUGUCACAUGUGGCGCCCUUGGAAGCUUUUUAAAACCACCUGCUGGACAGUAACCACCACCCAGCAUGGAAGUACUAGCAGGCCAUGUGCUGAUGAAUAACACUCGCUGACAAAUGAGGCUGACAUCAUCCUGGAGCAGAAAUAAAAAUACCAGAUGAAAAGGCGCUCUAAUUAUUCCGGGAGGCUGGGAAAUAAAUGAUUGGCUUUGAAGUAGGCUCGGGCCUUGGACUACAUUAGAAGCCAACCAUGUGAUUUGCAACUGUUGAAGUAAAAACCUUCAUUCUGCUACAGUACAGCAAGAAGAAGGGGGGGGGGGAUAAAUGAAGGAAAGGAAAAAUGAGGAGGGUGGAUUCUCAGCAAAAAGGAAAAAUGGUAUCUUUGUUUGUUCCCCUUUUGUUUACCACAAGAUUCUUUUUUUUUUCACUUUUUUUUCGUUUUUACUAAUUCAUUUCAAUGGCUUUUCAAUCUGGAAAAUGGAAAUGUUGCUCCUGCCCUCUGUCUCGGCGGCAGCGUCCUGGCAACAGAGCAAUUUUCUAUCAUCAGGGAUAAACGGCAUCGAACAGUACAUUCUGAUAAAAAAAAAAAAGAAGCCCAUGAUUGCUGGCCUUCCUGUCUGUCAUCUAGCGACCAAAUCCUCUCCUUCAAGACCGACCACUGUGCUGUCAGACCUAAUAAUGUCGCGUAUUAAGUCGAGAGGGGGGGAAAGGAGGACCAUGCUGCAACCGCCGGGGCCCGCACUGCCCCGAUUUGUCACCAUGCAGCAUCAAAUUCACCAUCAGCUUCCCGCGUAUGGAGUCUUUUGUCUGCAGCUUGGUGCGCACCGUGUUGCCGCUUCAGGCCUGCACGCUGCGCAUCAGCUUUAUUUAAAACCGCGCCAAACACAAUUAAUAAAAAAAAAACGCACAUAAAAGACCCGAAUUGGUCGUGUCUUGGUUCAGUGUCGUUGCGCGUAUUCAUUCUAUUCUUCAUUUGCUUUUCGACGUUUCAGAGGCAAAAACGACCGAGUUGUUUUGCGAGUAAUUAAAGACCACACGAAAGGUGACAGAGAGCGCCGCCGUUCAGGUGGGUUCCCAGCAUGCAACGUGGCGGGGGCAACCUCUGGAAACACGUUCAAAGGAUCCUAAGGGGAGGUGGGGCGUGUGCGUACCGAUUUUGGGUGGGUACGCACACGCCUGAGCACCCAGAGCAACGUUUCAGGAGCUUUGCAUUAAGUGAGGGAUGUAUAAUAAAAAAAAAUGGCACGGCAUAUGAAGGACACGCCGAUCAAUCAGCGGCCAACACGCUGCGGCUAUAAAUGCAAUGCAAUUAGAGGAUUAAAAAAAUGGAAAAUUACAAGUGAAUUUGAAAAUAGGGAAGUAAAUAAAUACAUGAGCCAAUAAAUAAAAGGUGGCCAGCAAAGAAGGAAAGAAUCAAAGAAAAAGAACAAGUAGCCAUUUAAGAUGGAUGUCUAAUGUUUAAUACACCGGUAAAAAUUAGUACCAAUUAAAAGCACAGAUGUUAGCGGGCGAAUUUAUACCCCCCCCCCCCCCCCCCCAACCCACCCCUACUGCAAACGAAGGAAUCAGGCGACAAGUGAAACGAGCAGUCUUAAUUAGAGAACGGUCUGCCCUGAGUGAGACCAGCGCAGCUUCAGCCGUGCCAAAUUAAAUCCAUUAGUCUAUGAGAGGCUGUGAAGACUCAGGGGUGCAGGCCCCGCUGCUUAUUUUGUGGUCAUUUACAGCUCGUCUUCCAGCACGCUACGCUGGGUCCAUCUGAAGGCCCAUCUCUCCUCUCGCCUGCACCUGGGGCCAUGCAUAUGCCAAUUUUGCUAUUUGCUGGCGAGAUAAUGCUAGGAGCGCAUUAUUUAUGAUGCAAAACUUAUGGUAAACAGCCGUCCGCCGCGAGUGCGCUGCGUGGUUUUGCUUUAUGACCAAACCACACUCAUUUUCCCUGGUGUAGUCGUGCGCUUUAACAGAACACAUCAAAGCUUGGCGUAAGUGGAUUUGUAUUAGUGCGCCCUGCGUAAUUUAAAUGCAUAAAAGGAGAAAGAACGCCGUCAUUUAUGCAGAGAUUUUUUUCAUAUAUUUAUUUAUUUAUUGCUCGCUGCAUAUUGAUAUAUUGGGAGUUUGACCACAUUGAUCAGAGGGCCUAAGACUGAAUGGGUGGAGGGGCCUAAGAAGAAUUUGAGGCCCCAAUUUCACUUUAGAUAAGUAAUCACAUUUCUACAUUGUUAUAGUUUAGAGCUAAACUGUGCCUAAAAGGAGACUCCUACACAAACACAAGAAGAGUAGAUUAAAAUAGCAGCCUUAAAGAUGUUAUCAUUUACCACUACUUGCAUAUAUGUGUUGCAAAACAACGCUGGGUAAUGAGCUAUGGACUUUCACACCGGCAUUUCACAAAAUACAUUAUUUCAAAUAUUUUUAACCACUGGAUGACAUUACAUUACACACUAGAAUGAAGCUGGUCAGCUGAUAUAUGGAAAUAAAACAUGACCAGAAUAGAGGUGAGGGAGGAAUCUGAUCAAAACCUCUAUAAUAGAGAAGAACAUUUUAAGAAAAAAGCACAAGUGGAUGCAGUAAAAGAACUCUGGACCUUGCCCUUGUGCUAUUUGUGAUGUCACCAGAGGCAUGUCUGCAUGGAAGCUUGUUUUGGGAGGCUAAAUUUUUAUCCUGAUUGAUGUUUUACAACAAACAACCGUGAGGUGUUGUCCCAUAAUGUGUGACAAACUCUAUCUAUAGCGACCCUGACUGAAUUUACAGCAUUCUGGUUCGUAGCUUUAAAUAGUUCCAAAUUACCAUCGCUUUUCUCUGCAUAUA